CCUUGGUCGUCGUACCUGUUUAAACCCUGAAACGCGACUACUCCCAAGCAAGAGGUUAACGAUUGCAUGCGGACAAGAAUGAAGCUCAUUCUAUUAGUAUUAAAUAUAUCGAUGUGCACUGUGAUUAUAGGACACAAGUGUUUCGCUACUGGGGCUGGGUCCGAGAUAACUCUUGUCGGUGACGGAAGAGGCACGAAUGGCGCCAAGGUUACGCGAGGAGAUACACUCACGAUGACGUGUUCAGUGCAGGAGAAUGUAACGCAUGUAACGUGGCUGAAAACCGAAGCUACAUCGAACGCCACUGAAGAGAGACACGUGAUGAUGGGGCAUAAGCAUGACGGUACAUGCGGUUUCUUUCCUCAUAUACCGCCGAAUGAUGUCGACUGCGCAUGUGUUAGUCAACGUGUGUUUACAUGUAAAAUAAACCACGUUACUGAUACUGAACAUGGCGACAGAUGGAGAUGUGAGGCUAAAAUAAAUAAUCAAAACAUGUCCAGCCAGGAUAUACAGAUUUAUGUUCACGAUCAGGAAAACUCUGUCUUUGUCGACCAAUCGUCAAACGUAACGCUUGUUGGCGUCUGUGGGAGUCUUGUACUCGGUUUAGUCUUGGGACUUUCAGUCGGCAUACUGCUUACACGAUGUGUCCUGCGUCGUCGACAAAGAAUUGCUCAAAGCCGUCUCGAAAAUAAACCAAGUUCGUGCAAAGACGCCACAGGGGAAAAUAUGUACAUUACAGUCGUGUCGCAAUUGGAAGACACUGAGCAAGAUUCUAGCGUUUCUCAUGGAAAUGGUAGACGACAGAACACAAACUGCAAAGAACAACCACUCACAAUGAUGUCAUCAACAAACAUAACUUACGGCGACAUGCACUUGCGGGCUGAAGGACAUCAGACACUGCCCGGCAAUAGUCUACAUCAGCAACACAAUGUAGACUUAAGGUUGACUUCCGUUGUUACCCUUGCAGUACAGUCGCAUGUUGUGCUCAUAUUUCGAAGGCAUGACUGUUAGCGUGCUCGUGGUGAUAUGCUUCCUUGAUGUUGUGCUUGAAGAUGCACACGUGAGGUUAAUGUCAUCCAUGAUAUCGUGAGGUGUGCCGUAAUCCAAAUACCAAUGAAUUGAUGGGGCAGGUAGACCAAAAUCACUGGUACAUGUGAACAGAGAUGCCUGGUUUACUAUUAACGAUACUGGGUCAUCAUUCGGGGAAAGUGUCAGUGUUGUGAUCGGCACUGAAACAAUCACUUGUGUACGCACUUCUACUCGGAUGGCAGACGGUGAAAAUAUGGGCAUCUAUAUAUAUAUUGUUGCAUACAUUAAUAUGUUAAUUCUUGUAAUAUACUAUUCAUUAAUUACAGGUCAAUAUUAAUACCUCGUUGCUUGAGGGCCAGAAAGGGAUAAUAGGCCCGCAGAGUGAAUUAUCACCCCGAAGCCGUAGGCCUGAGGGCGAUUAUUCACUCCAGGGCCGAUUAUCUCUUCUGGUCCUCAAGCAACGAUGCUAUUAAUACUUAAUCCCCGUUAACUGUACUAUUUAUUACACAACCAGAGUUCCGUACUUUAAUUUUCAUUCAAUUGAACACGUUAUGACGUAUCUCAUGUGACGUAAUUUCUGUGACGAAACACAGUUUAAGCCAAACUCUCUGGAUUUUAGGGACAACAAUUCCGUCGUAGAGGAUUUAUAUUUAACAGUUAAAUAUUUUUUAGCAUCGAAUGAAUCCAAAAUUUAUUUCGGAUUGUGUGUUUGUCAUGCAUUAUUAGGGAUGAAUUUUGUGUAAUCGCUUCGACAAGUCAUUCGAUUUCGUAAAUCGUGUUUUUGGUGAAAGUGGUUAGCAUUCGAUACAAUCGUUUAAAAAAGUGUGAUUUAAAGUCAAUAUAAAAUAACUGAUGGAAUAACAAAAAAGGACGGAAUAGCACAUCGUUGUUAUUUUAUUAUUAUAAACAUCGGAUAUAAUUUGUCGAGUACUCCCAACGACGACUAGGGUCAGUUGUGUAGCACCAAAGACGCCCAUCCCCGCCUCGAGGAUCUCUGCAGUAGUUCUUCGCGUCAAUGGCCAAUUGACGACCUGCAAAUAUUCGACCAUCGCGGUAUGUGUGCUGGUGAGGCGUGUCCAGGCUCCAGAGUUGACAUUCCCGCCCACUUUCCGUGCGGUUUACCGAGCCUUGCCAAUCGGCAGACACCACGAAACAGCCCGCUUUGUGGAAAAAUGAAAACAAAAUAAUCAUUGGUCCUGUUCGUAGCUUGAUAAAUUGGCAAAAUUGAAAUAAGUGUUUCACAUUUCCAAAUUUUCAGUGUAGUUAUGGAUUUUUGCAAGGGAACAUUAUUACUGAACAUUUACCAUGUUCUAAAAUAUCCAUUGCAUGCAUCUUUUUGCGAUUUAAAAAUCAAACGCGAAACGAUUGAAUAAUUUGGAGAGUUCUAUAGUUAUCCUUAUAUUUUGUGACGUUAUAAGGAUUGCUUAUAUAAAGUAUAAUGUACGGAUGGCCGAGUGGUUUCAGCGCUAGACUUUUACUCAAAAGGUCAGUGGUUCGAGCCCAGGUGUGGAAUACUUUUAAUUAUCUUUAAUUUGUAUUCUUGUUUUAUACUGGAGCUUUUUAGUUCUGAUGUUUAUAUUAUAUAUGUAAAGCAUUUAAUGACAAACUUCAAAGCAUGUUAAAAUCUGUGAACAAGUCACUUUCAAGUGAUAAACAUGUAAACGUUCCAUUUAUGCAACGCAUCAAAUAUGUCAGCUCUGAUUGCAUAAACAACCACCAGCUUCUCUUAACUGUUUGGCUAUAUGAAGCCUUAACAAAGAAAGUGCUGAAAUUUGAAACGAAAUUUUCUGAAACUCAUACUAAGCGUUUAAACUGUCAUCAUAGUUCAUAUAGGUUAACCAUAAAAGUCUUUGAAAACAACGUAUAUGUGCGUUUUAGUAACAUAAUAGCAUGGUCAUUAACAUUACUAAUUCCACGAGCAUAGUUUAUGUACAUGAAGAAUUAAUUUACCAUUGCGCAUCAUAUAAAACACAUUGUUGAUAUGUAUGUCGUAAAUGUUAAUAUCACUUACCAGUUAUGCUUAACAAAGGCUUUUGUUCCGAUGUUAAAGUUCGUCCGUUGUUGUUCCAUGCACAGUACAAUCGCAUGUUGGUGUCCGAUAAGGAUGGUAUUAUUGUCAAGGUACUCACGGUAAUAUGCUGACAUGUUUUGACUGAAGAUGAACUCGUAACGUUAAUGUCAUCUGUUAUAUCGGGUGUGCCGUUAUCCUUAUACCAGUAAAUGGAUGGGGAAGGUACACCAAAGUUACUGGUGCACGUGAAUUGCGAAGAUUCGUGUUCAAUCAACGAUACCGGGUCAUCCUAAGGGAAAAUUGUUAGCAUUGUGAUGGGUUCUGAAACUAUAAAUACUACCGCUAUACCAUCCCCUUUGGACUGUGCUCGAGUUUAUGUUAUUAUAGUAUGGUCAGGAUGAACUGUGCAUAGCAGUAUGUGGUGUUAAGUGUUGAAAGUAUUCGAUAAAGUCUUACAAAUUAAAAAUGCUUAUUUGAAAGGCUGCGAAAUUGCGUUUGUAUCGCAUAACUUUUGAACUGUCGCGUAAAAUGGGACUUGAAGCGAUUUAUGUCGCUAACAAAGAUGUGUGGGACGAAUGGUUCGAAUUUCUAAUUCGCAAAAGACGUGGACGAACAUCAUAUUUCUCUACGUGUACAGAUUACGAGCCAAACUUCCGAUGUUUGCCUGGUUUCUGAUUAGUUUAAUGACAUACAUCAAUACACUAUUAGCCAAUCGAGAACAGAAUACAUCAGAAGUUAUUCUCAAUAUUGAAGAGUUUGUAUUCGCAUUAAAAACGUCAGGGUCAAACAUUAAUGGUUAUUGUGAGGUCUCCUCGUAAAGAACACACCACCUUAAGUUCAAUAUUAAGAAAUAUCUAUGACAGAAAUUAAAAAGUAAUGGUGUCACAAAUUUAAUGACAACUGACAACUGUUUCUGGGUUAAAAAGUAAGCUAAAAACGUUAACUGGCGUAUGAUUUUAAUGAAGUUGUAUGUAUAUAUAAAUAUAUAUACAUAAAUUAUAGUAUUUGCAAAUAUUGUACUACUCAGCCAAAUGAAUGGCUUACGAGUCAAUGAGCUAACAUAUUAGUGUGUAGUCAUACAAUUAAAGCAAUAUAGUGCUGGAAAUUGUUUGGAUCAGUGACAUUGUUAAAAGUACUAACAUGGAAAGUGUAGAUGAGUUACUUUAUUUUAUUAUUAACAAGUGGAGUUACAGUCAUAGUAUUUUGAGUAAAAAUAAGUAAUACUAUUUACAUAAGUAGUAUUAUGCACAUACUGAUGUGUUUUUAAUGUUUGUCGGAUAUAUAUAGAAUGCUUCCGAGCCUGUGUACGGUUUAAAUUCGUGGGGGUCAGUGCAGUCACAGAAACGCUGAGAGCCUGCGCUAACGGUAAGGGAAUAUAUAUGUUCAGAUAUUUAUUAAGACCACAAAGCGUUUUUCAUAAUGUUGUAGCACAAAGAUUUUAUCUCUCUGGAUAGGACUUCACUAUCUUAAGUAUGUACUGUAUGUCAAAGAGUUUAUAAAAUCACGUUAUCGUCACUUACAUGUACUGUAAAUAACAAAACAGGGAAAGGCCAUUAAUAAUGUUGUUAGAACUUUAGGUCUUACCCUUUGUUCAAAAUACAUGUAUUUCUAUUUAUAUUUUGUAUUUGUGUCAACUCUACAUGUGAUUAUUUUGGAAAUAAAAUGUGUUUAAAUAAACGGUAAGGGAAUGCCUGAACGAUUUGCGUCAUCUAGCAUUUAAAAGGGACUUUUAUAUAUUCUACCCAACCAUACUGGCCGAGCAGAUUUGUGUCAUAUACUUAAAGCCUGUAUAGGUUUAAACAUUAAGAGGAUCAAUGUAAAGUUUAUUGUAGCAAUCGUUACUUUAUUAUCAAUUCCGAAUGAGCAGCUUCUGCACCUGCGGUCAGUUUAAUAAGUCAAGUUAAUAUGCGUUCACUUAUUGUUUACAUACAUACAGUUGUAAUAAUAAACAAUUAUUAUAGCAACUAAUCCGGCUAAUUUGUAUUUGUCACAGAGUAAGUGCUAUAUAUGUGGGAGUGCAACAAAAAUCGAAUACCUGUUUUAUAUAUAUUCCAUAUUGUCAGAGAGCAAAAUAACACGUUUGUUCUAUAUAUUUUCAUCUUUCUUAUCCGCAUAAAUCUUCGAAUGUGAUGUUUUCGUUUUAUUUGUCGGCCGGUUUCAAUUUGUUCAAUCACAAAGAGAAUGUGUUUUUGUCCCGGUACAAAUCAACAUGUGAAGUUAUCUACAACUGUCCAACUCAACUCAACUCAAAC